rnacentral:SRP_RNA from 1 species
GCCGGGCGCGGUGGCGCGCGCCUGUAAUCCCAGCUACUCGGGAGGCUGAGGCUGGAGGAUCGCUUGAGCCCAGGAGUUCUGGGCUGCAGUGCGCUAUGCCGAUCGGGUGUCCGCACUAAGGUCGGCAUCAAUAUGGUGACCCUCCGGGAGCGGGGGACCACCAGGUUGCCUAAGGAGGGGUGAACCGGCCCAGGUCGGAAACGGAGCAGGUCAAAACUCCCGUGCUGAUCAGUAGUGGGAUCGCGCCUGUGAAUAGCCACUGUACUCCAGCCUGGGCAACAUAGCGAGACCCCGUCUCUU